UAAAGCUAAAACACUUAAUUUUUUUCCGCUCCAUUCAUGUAAUCAACCGAACGUCCCCUUCACAGUUCAUGCCCUAGCUUUUCAACCUUCUCUACCUAUUCGGUUAUGGCUUUGAAAUUUGUUUGAACCAAAAUCAUCCGUACACUAGAAUUUUCUCCGUACAAAUUCUGAUUUCCACUUCCUAUCUUCAAUUCUGCAGACCGGUGAUUCUCGUAUUUCGCAGAUGAAAAUCAACCUUUGAAUUCCGUACAAAUGCAAAUCGGGACACGACGUCGUUUUGAGAUGUAUCACUUUUUAGGAAUUUGAAUUUUCAAAUGCACGGACAACGCAGAUCUCUUGGAAUUGCUCAAUUUUGAGGUUUUGAAGGUUUUGUUUAGGAACGGAUUCAAGACAGUAUAUGGGGACGUUUGAAGAGAACCAAAUUUGGAGAAAAAUGCAACAAAGGAAUUUUCAUUUCAGAUUUAGUAUUUUACAGUUGCAUUCUGACAAUACAAUUGAUGUGCCAAACAAAUGAGCCUCCUAUAUCUUUAAUUGUUAUUAAAAAAUAGUUUCAGAGGCUACAGUUUGGAAUAAAAUAUAAAUGACACGGGGAAUCUAUAUGAGGACUUCUAGAUGAGCCGCCAGAGGACUUAUAUGAGACACCACUCGAACAAAAGAUCGUCAUCUUCAAGGGUCUCUCGAUUGUGUCCACCAUGAAAGAUCAUCAUCUUCAAGGGUCUCGAUUGUGUCCACUGCCGGUUUCUGUGCUCUCGUCCUCUGUCCAUUAACUGUCAUUAUAAAUAUGGUUGCUCUUCAUCUGUAAUAUAGCAAAGAAUAGUUACACAAUUGCAACUAUAAUAGUCAAUUGUGACUGUGACUAUUUUUCACCAACAAAAAUACUUCAUUCUUAAAUGUGCACUCAGCGUUUGUUUGGUUAGCAAUAAAUUAUAAAUUAAUUAAGAGAAA